rnacentral:rRNA from 1 species
UACGUAGGGGGCAAGCGUUGUCCGGAUUUAUUGGGCGUAAAGAGCGUGUAGGCGGCCAGACAGGUCCGUUGUGAAAACUCGAGGCUCAACCUCGAGACGUCGAUGGAAACCGUCUGGCUAGAGUCCGGAAGAGGAGAGUGGAAUUCCUGGUGUAGCGGUGAAAUGCGCAGAUAUCAGGAAGAACACCUAUGGCGAAGGCAGCUCUCUGGGACGGUACUGACGCUGAGACGCGAAAGCGUGAGGAGCGAACAGG